CGGCACGGACUCGCGGUCGCGGAGCCGCUGUCCGAAGCCAGUUAAAUGAUUUGGUGCUAUAGUGCGUCCUCUGAAUUUUUUCGUUCAUACCCUACAUAAUUGUGUUGUCCAGCUGAUAAUUACAGGAAUGCUUCAAGACACUAUAGACUAACGUUUCGCCGGUUCAGUGCUACAAUUUUAUGCAAGUCAUGUUUCGUUUGUGAAAAUUAUGGAAUACUCCUGAAUCAUUGGCACUUCCGAAGUUCAAGGACAACGCUGACUCUGGAGCGAACGGACAGGCAGGCAGGCAGAGGAAAGCACCGGGGAUCGGCAGAUAUGCAAAAAGUUAUGGGGAGUCUCACUUUUAUGCAGAGCAUAGAUAUAAAUUACUCUUGUCAUUUUAAAGAGACCUACUAAUCUUGGCUCAACACCAGACAGAAGUUUAGCUCUUAAAGUCUAUCUUAUUGAGAAUACCAAGGAUGCCCUGCUAUUGGGGGGAUAAGCUGAACCCAUCUCCCAUGAACCACACCUGCAUUCGGCCUCAGUCCACUCCAGUCAGUGACCUCGGACGGAUGUCCCAGCCUUCCAUUAGGCCUACCACGGCGCUACUGGCGCGCCCAGACCUGAGACAAAGCCGACGCCGCAUUCUACAAAGGUCCACUUACUUACGGC